CCUACGGGGGGCAGCAGUGGGGAAUAUUGCACAAUGGGGGGAACCCUGAUGCAGCGAAGCCGCGUGAGUGAAGAAGUAUUUCGGGAUGUAAAGCUCUGUCAGCAGGGGAGAAGAAAGACGGUACCUGACCAAGAAGCCCCGGCUAACUACGUGCUAGCAGCCGCGGUAAUACGUAGGGGGCAAGCGUUAUCCGGAUUUACUGGGUGUAAAGGGAGCGUAGACGGCAGGGCAAGUCUGGAGUGAAAGGCAGGGGCCCAACCCCUGGACUGCUCUGGAAACUGUCCGGCUAGAGUGCAGGAGAGGUAAGUGGAAUUCCUGGUGUAGCGGUGAAAUGCGUAGAUAUUAGGAGGAACACCAGUGGCGAAGGCGGCUUACUGGACUGUAACUGACGUUGAGGCUCGAAGGCGUGGGGAGCGAACAGGAUUAGAUACCCUGGUAGUC
rnacentral:rRNA from 1 species